GGCCCAGCCUGCCCAGUGACAAUUUAACGGCCGCGGUAUCCUAACCGUGCGAAGGUAGCGUAAUCACCUGUCUCUUAAUUAGAGACCUGUAUGAACGGCACCACGAGAGUCAAACUGUCUCCUUUAUCCAGUCAGUGAAACUAAUCUUCCUGUGAAAAAGCAGGAAUUCUAAAACAAGACGAGAAGACCCUUUGGAGCUUAAGACAUUAUAAAAUUACAUUCUCAUCCCUCUACCCCCACACACCACACAAGUACAUUUUAUCAGUCUUCGGUUGGGGCAACCACGGAGUAAAAAAAACCCUCCAAGAUGUUACGGAACAUUCCUAAACAAAAAGCCACAACUUUAUGUAUCAACAAAUUGACAUUAUUAGACCCAAUAAUUUGAUUAACGAACCAAGUUACCCAAGGGAUAACAGCGCAAUCCAUUCCAAGAGUCCCCAUCGAAGAAUGGGCUUACGACCUCGAUGUUGGAUCAAGGUAUCCCAGUGGUGCAGCCGCUACUAAAGGUUCGUUUGUUCAAGAUUAAAACCUCACGUGAUCUGAG
rnacentral:rRNA from 1 species